rnacentral:rRNA from 1 species
UACGUAAGCAGCAAGCGUUGUUCGGAAUUACUGGGCGUAAAGAGUGUGUAGGCGGUGCUCUAAGUUUGGUGUGAAAUCUCCCGGCUCAACUGGGAGGGUGCGCCGAAAACUGGAAUGCUUGAACAUGGGAGAGGAAAGCGGAAUUCCUGGUGUAGCGGUGAAAUGCGUAGAUAUCAGGAGGAACACCUGCGGUGUAGACGGCUUUCUGGACCAUUGUUGACGCUGAGACACGAAAGCGUGGGUAGCAAACAGG